UAUGGGCAUUCGGCUGGGUAGCCAAUGCUUAAGAUAUAGUCGGGCCUUGAUGGAAACAUUAGGGAGUAAGUCACUGUAUGAUUUACUGUCAUUUAAAAAGCAUAGAGUCCUCUAAGCUAUGACGUACAACCGUUCCGUAGGUGAACCUGCGGAAGGAUCAUUACAGAGUUCAUGCCCGAAAGGGUAGACCUCCCACCCUUGUGUAUUAUUACUUUGUUGCUUUGGCGAGCUGCCUUCGGGCCUUGUAUGCUCGUCAGAGGCCUAUAAAACUCUUUUUAUUAAUGUCGUCUGAGUACUAUAUAAUAGUUAAAACUUUCAACAACGGAUCUCUUGGUUCUGGCAUCGAUGAAGAACGCAGCGAAAUGCGAUAAGUAAUGUGAAUUGCAGAAUUCAGUGAAUCAUCGAAUCUUUGAACGCACAUUGCGCCCCUUGGUAUUCCGGGGGGCAUGCCUGUUCGAGCGUCAUUUCAACCCUCAAGCACUGCUUGGUAUUGAGCCCUAUGUCAGAAAUGGCAGGCUCUAAAAUCAGCGGCGGCGCCGCUGGGUCCUGAACGUAGUAAUAUCUCUCGUUACAGGCUCUCAGUGUGCUUCUGCCAAAACCCCAAAUUUUUUUAUGGUUGACCUCGGAUCAGGUAGGGAUACCCGCUGAACUUAAGCAUAUCAAUAAGCGGAGGA
rnacentral:rRNA from 1 species